CUUUGUACUACUUUAUAUGUGGCCAUCUGGUGAAGGGCAAUCUCUUCCCUCUUGCCCAAAAUUAUCUACAGCUGAACCUUGGUUGCUUUGCUGCAACUUUUUUUUGCUCUGGCCUCUUUGAAAUAGGAGCCUUCCCCAGCAUGCCUUUUUUUUCAGGAGACGUUUUACAUUCUCGAUAAGCCUGGAUAAGGCUCUUUUGGAAGGUACAGGCUGUUGCUGUUUCUCUUGCAUCUAGAUGCAAACGUUGUUAUGGGCAGAGGAAAGUGUUUGGUGUCUCCUCUUACAGUAUUAAACACUGCUGUGUAACCUGUAAGUGAACCAUACAGGCAUAAACCAAGCAGGCAAAGGCUGGGUGCUGUUCUCCACCUGACUAAAAGCCAUGGCUUGCUGCUUUCCACAGAGGCUUGGUUGUCUGGCCAGAUGAAACCCCUGAGGAUUGUGUCCUGACUCCCACCUGUAAACUGAGAAGGAUGUUAUCUUAAGCAAGACAGCUCCAAAACAGCUCUUUCUGACAAGCCAUUCACAUUGUAGGACCAACAGUGGCUUUGUUUCUACUGAACAAGCAUAAUCUGGGCAACAGCCAAGGCUGCAAUACCCAAAGUAAAUGGAAACUCAGAAGAGGGCUUAAAGGCCUGUUUCUGCUUCCUUCUAUAUAAAGUGAGAAGUGUAAGGGAUAUUUCUCUUCCUUCUAGAGUUAAUAAAAAUUUCCUUGAGCCCCUAAGGAAAGAGGGGAUUGUCUUUGAGCUAUAAAUCAGGCUCUCUUCAUAUCUGAGUAAGCUUCUGUGUUAGAUCAGAGUCUCAUGUUCUUGUAGUUAAGAAUCUUGUUCUUCAUCCGAGCUUGACUUAAAUUAACCUGGAUGUUAAUUUCCCUCUGACUCGGUGCCUUCUGGGCCUACAUUUCAGUAGUCAGCAGCACCUCCUUGCUUACAGAUCUGUGUGUGCAUCGACUGCACCUCGACUACAACUUGAGAUCAAGCUGAAGAGACUGACAUGCAGUGUCUCCAUUCCUGGAAGGGAGCUGCAACAUUCCGUGUGACGCCUGCCUUGGACUGAGCUGCAGAUCCAGACCUUGUGUCAUGGUGGCCGAUGGGCAGCAGCUUCUUUGUUCAGGCACAGGCAGUGUUAAUCCAGUUGGGAUCCAGAUUUGAGCAAGCAACCAGGCAGAAGCCAGAAACCAUUCUUUGUUGCUAUUAGUUAUUAUCUCAUGUUAGCCAAAGUUUGCAUCCAAUUGAAACUUUUGACUGUGCAGAAAUCUGGAUAUGGGUUUUAAGCACGUGGCUCAUUUCUUGAUGUUACACUUGCAAGGACAGGAAGCAUUACAUUUAUUGCAUUUUAAGGAUAACAUUGUACUACAGCAGCAAUCUCCAUAAUGAGCACUGUAAAGCCGCUCCUUAUUUUGUUUUUCUGAGGAACUGAUUAAACAGACAUAGUAGAAAUUCCAGUACAGUUUUUCAAGGAAAGAAAAUUCCUUAUUAAAUAUGCUUCUGUGAACAAAAUGUUAAAUGUUUCUGGUAUUGCCAUAA